rnacentral:rRNA from 1 species
CCUACGGGAGGCAGCAGUGGGGAAUAUUGCGCAAUGGGCGAAAGCCUGACGCAGCGACGCCGCGUGAGGGAUGAAGGUCUUCGGAUCGUAAACCUCUGUCAGCAGGGAAGAACAGUUACUGUGCUAAUCAGCAGUGAAUUGACGGUACCUGCAAAGGAAGCAACGGCUAACUCCGUGCCAGCAGCCGCGGUAAUACGGAGGGUGCGAGCGUUAAUCGGAAUUACUGGGCGUAAAGCGCUCGUAGGCGGUAUGUCAAGUCAAGGGUGAAAUCCCCGGGCUCAACGUGGGAACUGAUUUUGAUACUGGCAAACUAGAGUGUGAGAGAGGAUAGUGGAAUGCCAGGUGUAGGAGUGAAAUGCGUAGAUAUCUGGAAGAACACCAGUGGCGAAGGCGACUAUCUGGCACAUAACUGACGCUGAGGAGCGAAAGCGUGGGUAGCAAACAGGAUUAGAUACCCCGGUAGUC